rnacentral:misc_RNA from 1 species
GAGAGGGGAAAAACACCGUUCUGCUUUGGAAAUGACUAAAGAAAAAUGUGAAAUACUUUAUAAAGUAGUUUUGUGGGAAUGAGGGACAACAACAAAUAAGCCUUAAUCUUCAAUCAACUCACCAUUCUAACAACACAAAACAGCAACUCAACUCCCAAAACCAGAAAUUGAAUUUCUUUCAAACAUAAUAGCUGCUGCAUUCGCAAUACUGUACAUCUCAUAUUGGGAAAUGAAAUCAAGUUUCAAGGUAAGUUACAUGUUUCCCAAAGAUGGAUUCUUUUCAUGUCAACAGAUUUAACUAAUUUCUUCGAUCAAAAUUCAAUAUUUUUCCUAACUCAAGUCUUUUCGUUCUGAUCUUUUUCUUGCAAACAUUUAUAGAAGUUAAAAACUCCAUGUACCUAUAAUGAACUACAGACAAUAAUGGAUUCCCCCCUAAUGCCACUGCUGCUGCUCAUAUAUCUGCACAUAUGCCUCAGAUAGUGCAACCAUUUGGGGAAGAGUUUCAGAAACAUGCAGAUCCUGCAUCUCAUACCAUAGCUCCUCUGAUUUCCGCUGCACAAAAACUCUAUAGAAUCCUUCCUUGGGUUUUCCAUCAUGAACAAUAUUGGCAAUCAAAUCAUACUUGGAACGCAAUUUCUCAUUCUCUUUAGGCAUUGGCAAAGGCAUAUAAUCCUUCAGUUCCAAGUUCUUCACAGGAAAGUUGACUGUAAUAUUAACAUCAAUUAGCACUGCCUCAUGCCCAACCAAGCCAAGGUACUUUUUUGUCCGUGUCGCUAGAUUCACAAUACAAAUGCCAAAUAAAGCUCACCUAAGGUUGGAUUUUUCUCAAUAAAAAAGUUGUUCUUUUUGAACCGCUGCAUAUGGAGUAUCAAAUACUGUGGCAAUCUAGUGACUCGAUAUUUCAUCCGGGCUACAAAAGGGCGGACAACUUCAGUCACCAUCGCACCAUCAAAUUUCUUCAGUAUAUUGAACAAAGGAACCUGGGGUAUUAUAUUCUUUUCCAUCACAUCUUUAAAUAGAGGCGGUGGUGGCAAAUCUAGUCCAAGCAUCAAGAAUGGCAUUCUAGAUGUUUCUGUGACAACAUCAUGAUGUUCAUUCCCACCAUCAGUAUUUUUUGGAAUGCCAUUCUGGGCAUCACCAUUUUCCUUCUUAUCAGCUAUAACUUUACUAGGAAUCUCUUUUACAACUUCUAGCUCCCCCUGAAAGCACUCAUAAAUGAUGCUGUUAUUUUUCUUAGAAGUUCUAAGAUCUUCAUGUAGUGUAUUAAGAAGCCAUGCCAUGAACUCCACAGGAUCAGACUGUUGCCCUAUGCGAAACCGUUUUUUACUGGCUUUCAUAACUGCUUGGAGAAAUUCAUGCGGGCUCACCUGUCCUUUAAAGUUCCUAGCAUGCCAUAUCUUCCGCGUGAGUUCUCCAAAACGAUGAACAAGAGAAGAUCUGCAAUGCUGAUAAUUUUCAGGGAUAAGGAAGAAAUUUCUUAAGGGUGUAACUCUCAUUAGAGACUGAAUAGUGACAUUGACAAAAUCAGUCUCUUUAAUGUUAUUCAGGCCCACCUGUAGAUUUCCAAAAUCAAGGAACAAAUUUAACACUGUUCAACUGCCAGAAAUGGCAUGCAUCUUACUACAUAUCCAAGUUUGACAUAGGCAAUAACUCAGCAACGAUCAUAUGAUGAAUCAGUGUUGAAAGCAUACCAUUCCAGGAAGAUAAUCAGACCCAUCAAGUGCCCUGGACCAUUGUCUAUUUUUGUCAAGUUGCUCAACCUGAUCCCUAGUAAACCUGCAUAAAGAGAUACCCUUGGGUUCAGAACAUGCCGUAUGUCAUCUAGUGAUGGGUCAAUAAUUUCAUAUCCAUCAGGAAGGCAGUAAACUUUCUCAGUCUGAAGAUUAAUGUAGACAUGGUGUCCAGCUUCAAGGCUAUGAGUAUAUGCAUGGGAUUUCUUCCCUCUCCCUUGGUAAUAUUUCCCACAAACCAAACACGCAUACACAUUCAGGUUUGACAAAGAGACAGAGCAAAAUUUCUCGAAAUCAAAAUCCAACACCUAAAACCAAAUUGCAUUAAAGAAGCCCCAAAACAAAACAUGUACCUACACAAACAUAUGUAUAACUGCAUAAAAACGAAAAUCACAUAUUAUCAGAAAAAAAUAAAUAGUUUACCUGACGAUUCACUGUAUCAAGAUAGGGGCAAUCUUCACGAGGCUCAAUUUGACUCCUCCGGAUCUCUUGAUUGGACCCUUGUCCAUCAUCAUCAUCAUCAUCAUCUUUGCCAUCGUCCUUUGGCCUCAGGAAAAGCAGAGAGUAGCGAAGAAAGGAGAAGGGAAUUUAAUCUUUCGACGGGAUUUGAUUCAAUUAAGUAAUAAAAGAAUUUGUAUUUUCUCUUAUUGCUCAAAAGAAGUCGAAGUCACAGCGGAUCUGAUCAGUGAUCAGGACUCGUUUCUAUUUAACCAAAAAAAAAAAAUUGAAAAACUCCUAGCCAGCCCCCAAUUUUUAUUUUAUUUUUUCUUAUUACUACCAAAAAAAAAAUUUCCUAAACCUUCAAAAUGAACACAUUUUACGAUUACAAAAUUAUUUUUUAUUUUUUUUA